rnacentral:rRNA from 1 species
ACGGGGUGCAGCAGGCGCGAAAACUUUACAAUGCACGCAAGUGUGAUAAGGGAACCCUAAGUGCUCAGCUAUGCUGGGCUUUUGUCAAGAGUAAGUAUCUUGGCGAAUAAGUGGUGGGUAAGACGGGUGCCAGCCGCCGCGGUAACCCCCGCGCCACAAGUGGGAGCCACCAUUAUUGGGCCUAAAGCGUCCGUAGCCGGUUUAGUAAAUCUUUUGUGAAAUUGCUAGGCUCAACUUAGCAACGGGCAAAAGAAACUGCUAGACUAGGGACCGGGAGGAGUUAGAGGUAUUCCGAGGGGAGCGGUAAAAUGCAAUAAUCCUUGGAGGACCGCCUAUGGCGAAGGCAUCUAACCAUAACGGAUCCGACGGUGAGGGACGAAAGCUAGGGGAGCGAUCCGGAUUAGAUACCCGAGUAGUCCUAGCUGUAAACUCUGCGAGUUAGGUGUUGCACAAUCUUAGAGAUUGUGCAGUAUCGAAGCGAAGGUGUUAAACUCGCCGCCUGGGAAGUACGGUCGCAAGGCUGAAACUUAAAGGAAUUGGCGGGGGAGCAC